rnacentral:snRNA from 1 species
CCAGUUCCGAACCCGUCGGC